AUCCCAUGAUGAGGACAAGCGGCGAUGUACUCCUGCAGACGUUCCCAUGCCUCGGGGACGGACUCAUCCCUUGUCUGCUGGAAGCUUGAAAUUCACCCGCGAAGGGC
rnacentral:snoRNA from 1 species